GGACCACUCGGCGCCAUCCACUUCUAUCUGCUGCCUCGUGGAGAGCGUCGUGUAUGGUGGUAUCGAGGGUGGUGCGGACCUGGUCAGUCCAACGUAUCCUGCCCUAUGUACGUGACCUUCACUCACAUAUGUAUAAUUAUAAGUUAUGGUUUAUCCCAGCGGUUCUCAAAGUGCGACCUUUAGUAAGGAGGUUCGUGUAAUCAGACUUUCAAAUGUUAUUCGUUAUCGUCAUGUGGUUUGCAGUCGUCUGGUUUAUCUCAUGUGUUAACAUAGUUUGGAGCUCACCAAAAAACAUGUGUAAUUUGUAACUGUGUUAUGUAGUGCUGUUAUUGUCAAUAAAUUUGUCGUUUCCAAGCAAAAAGUCCCACUUUGUCGCUUGCAAUAAGGACGCUUUGACAGGUUAUUUGUAUAAAGGUACAAAGCAAAUCUCGUCCUUAUGAUACCUAAGCGACAAAGUGAGACCUUUGACUAGACUUCGGCACAAAUGUAUUCUUAUGUAGGAACAAAAACAUUAUUAUUUGCAGAAAUUAUUAAUCAUCCUUGAACACAUGAAAGGACACACUUGUUCACAAAAUGGUGGUCACUUGAUCAUUCUUUUAAUCACACUAAUAAACCCUAUAGGAAUGUAUGAGAUUAAACUUCAAUUGUUAAUGUAAUACUGUUGUAUGCUUUUGCAGAGGGUGGUGGUGAAAAAGUUAAAACCUAAAACUCUAUAUUGUUAGGUAUUUUAUUUGUCAUUCAUGAACUAACUUAUUCACGUUCUCGGUUGUGUUAAUAAAUAGUAUAAAUAAAUGUUUUAAACGUGUCAGUUUACACCAGUGCCCUGUUUUUCAAAAGCUUGUAACUUGUAAUACAAGUGGAAGUCCCUCUUUGACAGCUUUUGUUAGAAAGGGACUUCCACUUGUAUUACAAGUUAAAAGCUUUCGAUAAACAGGGCACAGCUAUUUACAGUUGUGACCUGCGUAUAAAGGAAAGCGGUCUAUGAAAUAAGGCGCGCCUUUAAUAAUAUUGUAACGUUGUAUUAAGCGUGCUAUGUUUUAAAUGUAUUUGAUGUUUACUUUAUGCUCGUAAACCACAAUGAAUCUUUUUAUUUAUUAACAACAUAGUUUUAACUUUAACCAAAUAAUGGUUAGUAGUAUUUUUUAAUUAUUAAUAAUUUUGUAAUGUCUAUGCUAUAUAAAGCCUAAUGUAAGUUAAUAUGGAAUUUUUGGACCAUUAUGUAAGCAUGUAAGUAAAAACUAGGUCGCAUGUCUACUCUAGCACGUCCUACCGCGACUUCAUAAUGUUUAAACUGUCGCGCGAUUUGUGUGAACGUAUGCUAAAUGUGUAAAUGCAAUUUAACAGAUUAUUUCUUGACUGAGUUGUAAUAAGUUUAUGGGAAUCCUGAAAAGUUAGUGUCAGGCAAUUUUACCAAAAUGUUAAUAAAUCAAUUUAUUUUAAACGGUACUCAACAUUAUUUUGUAUAAGGUCCGUACCAGUGCUCGACAUGCUUACACCCAUUAGGUGUAAUAUAUUGAGCUAAUGGCGAAAGUUUAAAUAUGGCAUGAACAGUGACGAGCAUUCAGACUACCUUGUGAAUUUCAACCCCUAAAUGGGGUAGCAUUAAUAAAACUAUGUGCCUUAGUAGUAAAAAAAUGUGUUCCACAUAAUUUUCUUAUUAUGAGUUGACUACUAAACGAAAAAGUGCCUUUAUGCAAUGUUUUUAUUAAUAUUAAAUAUAAUUUAUUUGUGCUACCAAAUGUUUAAUCCGACAUGUAUGAAUUGCUUAAUUAAGAUUUUUUAUAAUAUUAUAAUAAGUGCCUAAUCAUCAUUGUAUUAUCAAUGAAUAAAAAUUGUAUAUUAACAA